AUGCUCUGGUUUCUCUUCAUAACAAAUAAAUCUUUUGCUUUUUACUAAAGAUUUCCAUGGAGAGGAACAAUUACUGAGUUUUUUGAUGUCCUGCUUAGGGUUCAUUGUAAAAAUUUA